rnacentral:antisense_RNA from 1 species
AGCUGGCCAUCCGCACCGAAUUCCAAGCCCGGGCACAGAGGCCUAGCAGCCCCGUCUUGUGCAUGGCUCAGACCAGCAAAAUUCCUUCUCCAAGAAAGUCUGGGUCUAUGUAUGUGACAGCCCACAGGAGGGCAAAUGUUUUGAGACUGCCCAUGGAGGUGAGGCCUGUGGUCGCCAUGGAGUCCACCAGGUGAGGCUGGAAGAGCCUGGGAGAGAGACGUGAUAGGGAGUAGCUGCGCCAGGCCUGGCACUGCCCUUCACUCUGCCCAGGGUCUCUUCCAUCUUCACAGGCCCUGGAGGGCAGACUAUGGUCAUUGGCCAAACAGCAUCUCAUGUCCGUCGACAAAGGGACUUCCUCCUUUACAGGGGCUAAGUGGUAGCGAGGAGGCUGGAGAGUCCCUCAAGCAGUGGUGGAAAUGCAAAGAACUCGGGGCACUCAAGUUCUCCCUAACCCCUCUGUCCCCAGGUCUUAGCCUCCAUCCUAGUUCAAUAAAUAUUUGUUGAAUGC